rnacentral:rRNA from 1 species
ACGAACGCUGGCGGCGUGCCUAAUACAUGCAAGUAGCACGCUGAAGGAGGAGCUUGCUUCUCUGGAUGAGUUGCGAACGGGUGAGUAACGCGUAGGUAACCUGCCUGGUAGCGGGGGAUAACUAUUGGAAACGAUAGCUAAUACCGCGUAAUAGUAGAUGUUGCAUGACAUUUGCUUAAAAGGUGCAAUUGCAUCACUACCAGAUGGACCUGCGUUGUAUUAGCUAGUUGGUGGGGUAACGGCUCACUAAGGCGACGAUACAUAGCCGACCUGAGAGGGUGAUCGGCCACACUGGGACUGAGACACGGCCCAGACUCCUACGGGAGGCAGCAGUAGGGAAUCUUCGGCAAUGGACGGAAGUCUGACCGAGCAACGCCGCGUGAGUGAAGAAGGUUUUCGGAUCGUAAAGCUCUGUUGUAAGAGAAGAACGAGUGUGAGAGUGGAAAGUUCACACUGUGACGGUAUCUUACCAGAAAGGGACGGCUAACUACGUG